GCAUUAGUAGCUCAGUACCCCAGAGCGCCGGUCUUGUAAACCGGACGUCGGAGGUUGGAAUCCUCCCUACUGCU
rnacentral:tRNA from 2 species